UACGUAGGGUGCAAGCGUUGUCCGGAAUUAUUGGGCGUAAAGAGCUCGUAGGCGGUUCGUCGCGUCGGCUGUGAAAACCCGGAGCUCAACUCCGGGCCUGCAGUCGAUACGGGCGGACUCGAGUUCGGCAGGGGAGACUGGAAUUCCUGGUGUAGCGGUGAAAUGCGCAGAUAUCAGGAGGAACACCAACGGCGAAGGCAGCUCUCUGGGACGGUACUGACGCUGAGACGCGAAAGCGUGGGGAGCAAACAGG
rnacentral:rRNA from 1 species